AUGGCGCGACCAGGCCACUCCACGGCGUGGCUCCCUCUCCUGGUGCUCCUCUUCGCGGCGGGCGCGACGGCGCAGAGCUGCCUCUCCGCGACCUUCACUGGGGGCCGGACGUUCCUCAAGUGCAACCAGCUGCCCGUGCUCGGCGCCAGCCUCCACUGGACGUACCACGCCGUGAACGGCACGGCCGACAUCGCCUUCCGGGCGCCGUCCGGCGCCGACGGCUGGGUCGGCUGGGGCAUCAACCCCAGCGGCGGCGGCAUGGCCGGCAGCAACGUGUUCAUCGCCUCGCAGACCAGCGGCGCCGUGUCCGUGCUCACCACCAUCCUCAGGAACACGACCCCCACCCUCGACAACACCGCCCUCUCCUUCGACGUGCCCGUCCCGGCCAGCGCCGAGUACGCCGGCGGCGCCUACACCAUCUACGCCACGGUGGCGCUGCCGGGCAACACCACGUCGCAGAACACGGUGUGGCAGGCCGGGCCGGUCUCCGGCGGCCGCGUCUCACAGCACUCCAUAUCGGGGCCGAACGUCCAGUCCGUCCAGAGACUCGACUUCCUCUCCGGCACCAGCACCGGCGGCUCCAACUCCAGGCUGCACCGCCGUAACCUCCACGGAGUGCUCAACGCCGUCGGAUGGGGCAUCUUGAUCCCACUCGGCGCCAUGAUCGCGCGCUACCUCCGCGUGUUCGAGGCGGCAGACCCGGCGUGGUUCUACCUCCACAUCACCUGCCAGAUCUCCGGCUACGUGCUGGGCGUCGCCGGCUGGGGCCUGGGCCUGAAGCUGGGCAGCGAGUCCAAGGGCCUCACCUACACCACCCACCGCAACAUCGGCAUCGCCAUCUUCUGCCUGGCCACACUCCAGGUGUUCGCGCUCUUCCUCAGGCCCGACAAGAAGAACAAGUACCGGGUCUACUGGAACGCCUACCACCACUCCGUCGGCUACUCCGUCAUCGUCCUCGCCGCCGUCAACAUCUUCAAGGGCCUCAACAUCCUCAAGCCGGUCACGGGCUGGAAGACGAGCUACAUCGUCAUCCUCGCCACGCUCGCCGGCGUCGCGCUCGUCCUUGAGGCCAUCACCUGGGCCAUCGUCCUGCGCCGCCGCAAGCGCAACCAGGCCUACGGCGGCGCCAACGGGACCGGCGUGCAGCUAUGA
rnacentral:rRNA from 1 species